UUUUUUCUUUAAGUGGGUGGGGUGGGGUGGGGUGGGGUGGGUGGGGGGGUUCAUGUUCAAAGAUCGAUCUGACAAUUGCUUAAGGUAGUUGCUUAAUUUGCUGGCGCAAAUUUCUCUGUCGCCUAUCUCAUGUCAUGCUUCUUUUUUCUCUGAAUUAAUUCCUAGUGUCCGUCAAUCAAAGAUUCGUCAUCAAGAAAAGGAAGAGCCUUGACUUUGGGUAGGUUGGUCUCGUCAUUUAUGCAAUUUUCCCGUCCAUUGAUUGAUCAUGCUAGUACGCAUUCAGUCAGCCAUAGCGAAUGACAAAAAUGUUCAUCCUGAAUUCUCUUCCUUAAGAAAAUUGUCUAUCAAUUGAUCCCUACGAUUAUAGUCUCCACUUUUAACACUCUACUAAGAAAUGCACUCUUGUUGAUAGAAAUCGGCAAGGACCUCAUACACGCCCUCGAGGGCAACGUUCAUGACAAUCAUCACUAUGACUUUGUAGCCUUUUUGGAGAUCCGAUUAAUUCGGACUUGUGUUGAAAAAUUUUACUUUCUUAAAGACGAUUUUAUCCUCAAGACUUGAAUAGGAGAUCCGAUUAAUUCGGACUUGUGUUGAAAAUUUUUACUUUUUUAAAGACGAUUUUAUCCUCAAGACUUGAAUUCAUGAUAUCUCGUGAAAAGUCAAUCAAGCUGACACAAUUAAAAUGACA
rnacentral:lncRNA from 1 species